rnacentral:rRNA from 1 species
AGUGAACGCUGGCGGUAGGCCUAACACAUGCAAGUCGAACGGCAGCACAGUAAGAGCUUGCUCUUACGGGUGGCGAGUGGCGGACGGGUGAGGAAUACAUCGGAAUCUACUUUUUCGUGGGGGAUAACGUAGGGAAACUUAUGCUAAUACCGCAUACGACCUACGGGUUAAAGCAGGGGAUCUUCGGACCUUGCGCGAUUGAAUGAGCCGAUGUCGGAUUAGCUAGUUGGCGGGGUAAAGGCCCACCAAGGCGACGAUCCGUAGCUGGUCUGAGAGGAUGAUCAGCCACACUGGAACUGAGACACGGUCCAGACUCCUACGGGAGGCAGCAGUGGGGAAUAUUGGACAAUGGGCGCAAGCCUGAUCCAGCCAUACCGCGUGGGUGAAGAAGGCCUUCGGGUUGUAAAGCCCUUUUGUUGGGAAAGAAAAGCAGCAGGUUAAUACCCCGCUGUUCUGACGGUACCCAAAGAAUAAGCACCGGCUAACUUCGUG